AUUGUUUUUUCUUGUAUUUAAACACAUAGGUUAAUGUACAGAAGAGUAACUUUCCACUCACUUGAAGGAAUAAAUCCCUGAAUUCUUUUCUGAGGUGCUCCAGAAACUGCUUUGGCCCCCGCAGCGCGACUGGAAGCAUCAUCUCCAGGCUGAAUCUCGCCCGGUUUUUAAACAGAAACAACCUUCACUCAUGCAGAGCAACCGGGAGCUGGGGAGUGUUUCCACCAUGUUCUGCGAGUCAGCAUUUUCCCCCGAGCGAGAAAGCUGCACCCUUAACAACACUUGGGGCUGUGCAAAGAACGGCUCGGGGAAGACUUUUUGAAGUCAAUGGACCAUUGACACAGCGUCAUGGAGAAGUGGACUCCUCCAGCUUCUACAAACAUGGCGUCAGUGACCUGUGUCUCCAUGGAGGUCUCCAGCCUGUACUGUGUCCCUCCCUGGCAGAGUAUCCUGCCUUUAUGCAUGCAGGAGGCCUGCAUUCUGCUGUAAGUGUUAAUGUGCUCC
ensembl:lncRNA